CAUUGAACCGUCAAUUGCUGAACGAACGAACGACAGCGAAACUCAGAGGCCCCGCCUUUAAACCCGUGAAUUUUAUUAUUUUAGUUGGUUUUGUCGCGAUGUUAUAAUUAUAAAUAGGAAUUUAGGUAAUAUUCAGUGAUGUUUUAAAAAUUCCUGCUAUUAAUUAUGUUAUAAUGGUAGUGUUACAGUUAAUCAAAUGCAAUUAUUGAUUUACCGUCUACAUUAACAAAUAAUAUACCAGACAGGAGACUGUCAGCAUCAUGGGUACCAUCAAACUUUUAAGUGUUCUCGCGGUUAUAUCUCAAGCGGCCGCUCUAUUGACGUCGCCCCCCAAGAUAGUGAAGCAGCCCACACAAGAGGAACUACUCUUCCAAGUGGCGCUGCCAGGAGAGGUGGACAAGCCUUUCAUUAUCGAGUGCGAAGCUGAAGGGGAGCCGGCGCCUAAAUACCGGUGGAUCAAGAAUGGCAAGCCUUUCGAGUACUCAAGUUACGACAAUCGUAUAUCGCAGCAACCAGGCCGCGGUACUCUCGUGGUCAGUAAGCCCAGGGACGAGGACCUCGGCCAGUACCAGUGCUUCGCCGAGAACGAAUGGGGAACGGCCACGUCGAACAGUGUGUUUGUGAGGAAAGCGGAACUGAACUCGUUCAAGGAGACAGACGGCCAGCAAAUCAUCACGGCUGAAGAGGGCAAGCCGUUCAAGUUGACGUGCGAGCCCCCGGACGGUCACCCGAGCCCGAAAGUGUACUGGAUGUUACAAGGCGACCAGGGACAACUGAAGACGAUCAACAACUCGCGCAUGACCCUGGACCCAGAAGGGAAUCUCUGGUUCUCGAACGUGACGCGUAAUGAUGCUAGCGGCAACUACGCUUACACGUGUGCAGCUAAGUCAAUCUUCAGGAAUGAGUACAAAUUAGGCAAUAAAGUGUAUUUGGAGGUGAAACCCACCGGCAUAUCGCCGGCACUCAACAAACACGAGCCAGUACGCCAGUACACGACCAGGAGGAACGAGAGGGGCCUGAAGGGGAAACGAGUGGAACUAUACUGCAUUUACGGUGGCACGCCUCUUCCUCUAAUAGUGUGGAAGAAAGACGGUAGCCCCAUACUGUCAUCGCAGAGCAUAACGCAAGACAACUACGGCAAAACGCUAGUCAUCAAGUCGCCCCGGUACGAAGACCAGGGCACCUACACCUGCGAGGUCAGCAACGGGGUCGGCUCGGCACAGUCGUACUCCAUCAAUCUGAACAUCGAAGCGGCACCGUUCUUCACCGUGGAGCCUGAGAUCCAGAACAAAGCUGAAGGUGAAACAGCUGAGAUCAGAUGUGAGGCCGGCGGCACCCCUGCGCCGCAGAUCACGUGGAUCCACAACGGAGUGCCGAUCGAUCAAACGCCGGGCAACCCCCGGCGGCGGGUCAGCAACGACGGCAAGUUCAUCAUCAUCACCGACCUGGUGAAGAAGGACACUGGCAACUACGGCUGUAACGCGACCAACUCGAUCGGAUACGUAUACAAGGAUAUCUACGUGAACGUGCAAUCGCUCCCGCCGGAGAUCAAGGAGGCACCAGAGAACGUGACCAAGGUGGAUGGCUCCACGGCGGUGCUCAAGUGCCGCGUGUUCGGCGCGCCCAAACCCAUCGUGAAGUGGAUGAGGGACGACGUCGACAUCACCGGGGGAAAGUACAACAUCACAUCGGAGGGCGAUCUCGUCAUACCAGACCUGUCAUUCACCGACGUGGGCACCUACCAGUGCUACGCCAAGAACAAGUUCGGGGAGAAGUCCGCGUUCGGCUCGCUCACUGUUAAGAAGCACACGGUAAUAACGGACGAGCCGGAACACUACGAGGUGGCCGCCGGCUCCCCGGCCACGUUCCGCUGCAACGCGAACGCCGACGACUCGCUCAACCUGGAGAUCAUCUGGCUGAACGACGGCCAGCCGAUCGACUUCGAGAACCAGCCGCGCUUCCGCAUGACCAACGACUACUCGCUCCUAAUAUCCGACACCAUCGAGCUCGACUCCGGCGAGUACACCUGCAUCGCCAGGACGGAGAUCGACGAGGCGCGUGCGCAGGCCACGCUCACCGUGCAAGACAAGCCGAACCCGCCGGCGCUGGACGGCAUCUCGUGCAGCCAGCGGCAGGCCACGCUGCGCUGGCACUCGAUGGGCGACAACCGCGCGCCCAUCCUGCGCUACAGCGUGCAGUACAACACGUCGUUCACGCCCGACGCCUGGGACGCGGCCGCCGACUCCGUGCCCGCCACCGACGCCUCCUGGGCCGCGCAGCUCAGCCCCUGGGCCAACUACACCUUCAGAGUGAUCGCGUGGAACAAGAUCGGGCCGUCGCUGCCGUCGGGCCACUCGGAGCCGUGCACCACGCAGCCCGACGUGCCCUACAAGAACCCCGACAACGUCGAGGGCAAGGGUUCCGACCCCACCAACAUGGUCAUCUCCUGGUCGAAAAUGCCUCAAAUUGAACACAACGGUCCCGGGUUCUACUACCGUGUGUUCUGGCGUCGCAACAUCACCGGCGAGCCCUACCAGGACCACCACGUGGCCGACUGGCAGCAGGAACAGUUCGUCGUACCCAACACGCCCACCUUCCAGCCGUACAAGAUUAAGGUUAUAGCUGGUAACUCCAAAGGAAUAUCUAAUGUGGCCCCAGUUGAAAUCAUAGGCUGGUCUGGCGAGGACACUCCUCUCCAAGCACCCACCAACUUCAGUCUCGUCCAAGUGAUCACUGGAACCACUGCUUUGUUAAACUGGAACCCGGUCCCGGCGGAAUCCGUCCGUGGACAUUUUAAGGGUUACAAAAUUCAGACCUGGGUAGAUGGAGAAGAGGAUAGACUCAAGGAAGUUUUGGUGAAAGCAGACGCAACUAGCGUUCUAGUGUCCAAAUUUAAACCGUACAAACGUAACAACGCGCGGAUCCUCGUGUACAACGGACGCUACAACGGACCAUCUAGUGAGAUCUUGAGUUUCGUUACCCCAGAAGGCAAACCCGGAACGGUCCGAUCUUUCGAGGUAUACCCUAUUGGGUCCUCGGCUAUGCUGCUGAAGUGGGACAAGCCCAUAGACGAGAAUGGAGUACUAACAGGUUAUAAGAUUUACUAUCAGAAGGUCGAAGGUACUGCUCUCGGGCCGCUGCGGGAAAGAAAGAAGGAGAUAGACCCGUCGUUCGAUAGAGCGAAGCUGGCAGGUCUAGAGCCGAAUACGAAGUACAGGAUAGAGAUACGCGCGAAGACGAAGGCGGGCGAGGGUGACAAGUAUUACGUGGAGCAAACCACGAAGGGGGGACUGGUAGCGAAGCCUGAUACGCCGAUGUUCGAAGCGGAGCGGCUGCCGACGAAGGAUGGGUCAGCGCAUAUCAAGGUUCGCUGGUUGCCGUCACUGGACGGUCACCCCGGGACGCACUUCGUGGUGUGGUACAAGGUGCGCGGCCACAACGCCUGGCUGCACACCAACGAGAUCACCGACGACGACUACGUCAUACUCACCGGGCUCGAGCCCGGCCAGGUCUACGAGGUCAAGAUCACCGCGCACGACGGCGACUACUUCAGCGCCAGUGAGAUCAAGGAGGUCGAUAUCGAAGGGCCGACGAUAACGCGCGAGGACAAGAUGGCGACGGCGGGCUGGUUCAUCGGCGUGAUGGUGGCGUUGGCGUUCCUGCUGCUGGUGCUGGUGCUGGUGUGCGUGGCGCGCCGCAACCGCGGCGGCAAGUACGACGUGCACGACCGCGAGCUGGCGCACGGCCGCCGCGACUACCCCGACGCGGGCUUCCACGAGUACACGCACCCAUUGGACAACAAGUCCCGGCAUUCUAUGAGCAGCGGCACCAAGCCAGGUCCCGAGAGUGACACCGACUCUAUGGCGGAGUACGGUGAAGGGGAGACAGCGGGCAUGAACGAGGACGGCUCCUUCAUCGGGCAGUACGGCCGCAAGCGGCGCCCGCCCGCCUCCGGACACACAGACUCCGCCUCGCAGGCAUUCGCCACGCUCGUCUGAACCCACCCUCACCCUCCUUCCGAACCACUCACCUUAAGCUGUAUAAGCAGAUUUCCUUUGCACGAACUAUCUCAGUAGCUGCGUUCGCGUACGCUAAUAUUCAAAAGCGUAGUGCCAUUUUGAAUCACAUUAAAAAAAUAGUCUGGUACUGAGUAACCAAUCGCCGUAGGCCUAGAUGUGAUCUUCGUUUCGAUUGGUCCGUUUGACGGUGAAGUCGCCCGCCAAAAUUUAUUUCGAAUACUUUUUUUUUAUAGAAUACUUUGUCUCUGGUUGUACCCUAGUUUCUUAAUUUGUACAUGACUGCCACUACUUUUAGGCUCCCCUACGGGCGUUCGAUGUCUUUAUUGCACUAUUUAUAAAAUAGUUUUAAUAAAGGCUUUAUCACGUGUCUUUAUAUUGUGAAUUAUCUUUAUUGUGAAAUCUCAAAUGCAGCGGCUUAAAUUAGUUAUUAAGUACACAAGCAAAUAUUUCUUUAAGUUAGAUUGUAAAAAUUAAGUUUAAAAUUGAGUGAAUUAGUGUGAUUUUUUUUCUACUUAUUUUACAUGUUUUUUUUUUCUUUCGCUUUUUCGUUGUUGAUUGACUGUAGUUAGGUGCAAUAUAAAAUAAACGUUAUCCUGUUUCCGUCCCUAUGUUCUAAUCCUUAUGUUUGCCUAUGCACGAGCUACUUUUUUUUUAUUUGUAAGGCCGGUUCACGGAGGACGGCUCGUUCAUCGGGCAGUAUGUGCCGGGUGCACGCGUACUGCCGCCGCCAGCCGCCGCCGCGGGAGCGCCACAGCCGCCCACCUACGUGUGAGCGCUGUCUCCGCGCCGCCACGGUAUCUGCCGUCUCCCUCUAAUUAACCAUCUGUUUUGCACCGUACCCGGUCAGGCCGUAUCGAGCCGAGCAGCUGUAUAUUUCAGUUUUCUGUAGCAAACUCUACUGUAACCGUUUCAGUUAUAUAGUGCAUAUUUACUGUGUCAAAAUUGUCACCCUGAUACCGUGUACCGAGUGAGAUGUGCCCUUCGUCCCCGCCCGCGGGACGUACCAGCUGUUCGUUAUACGAAGCUGUCACCUGCUGGAUAUUUUUACUCUGUAGCUCUGGCAGCUAGUUGUAAAAAGACGGUAUAUACAUUUUUUUAACACUAUAUUUAGUUGAAAUUUAUUAGUAUAGGGCCAAGUUAGGAUAAGCCGAGUCUAAGGAGCCUACUAUUAAUUUAGUUCGGCCCUGCAGUAGUGUCAGUAGUGAGGGCUAUUUGAGACUUCUUUUUUUACGACUCACAAAUUUUGAAUUCGCGAUUAAAACAUAGUGAAACACUUUGUUCUGUGGCAAUAACAAUAAAAAUAGGUUCUUUUCUUUAUGAGACUGAUUUUAAGUAAUGGAAUAAAAUAGUCGUCAUUUUCUGACACGUAACGCUCUGUUCUGGAAGGUAUAGCGUAAGAGAACAUGCGGUAGGUUUGGUAUACGUAAGUAGGUACGAGAGAAUAGCGAUGCAAUAAGUUGUUCGACUGCAGACGCAUCAAGAACGUCAGUGUGAAUUGACCCUUAUUUCUUUUGCUCUCUCUACAUACCUGUUGAGUUUCGCAGUCGAUCAACUAUCCAUAAGGACAUUUCAAACACGAGCGAUUUAUUCUUAGCUUGUAAACAUAUGUAGGUGAUGUUUUGGCCCGAUAUCAAUUACUUGUUAAUUAAGGAUACGGUAGCUGGAAGACUUGAAAUUAAGAGAAGCUAUUUUUGUCACAGAAAAUAGGUAAAGAAUAAGAAUAUUAGCUCUGGACACCGGUGGUCAGACUUGCUGUAGAGUCAAUAAUGGUGACUCUUAAACUGUGACACAAACUCGAUCAUAGAUUAAGAAUGAUAAGGUAAAUCAGACUGGACACAUCGUAAAAAUUUGGUGAUUCAGCUUGUAAAUUUUUGUCAAUUUUAUGCCUUGUCUGGUUUAUUUUAUUGUGUGAAAUGUGAUUACAUAGAUCAACAGCGAAAUAAAUUCUAUAGCUACGAUAUUUUAUAUUGAAUGCAUAUCUUAUAUGUAAAUUACAAAUUAUUGUAACAUUUUUGGACCAUUUAAAUAUAUUAUUUUGUGAAAAUGAAAAUAUGACUGUUACAAAGCGUCUGUGAAAGCUACUGUUAAUUUUUUGACUCGUAUGUUCUCUUAUAUACCUCUCGUUAUAUGAGGGUAUAUUUAUAUAUUUAGACCAAAAAGCAACAAGACAUGCUUGUUCGCUUUGCAAACGUAUCCUCGCAAAUAGUACAUCAUACUUUUGGGAAAAAUUGUAAAUACGCUGUGAAAGCUUACAUUUAUUUCUACAGUAAAAAUCUUGUUGCUAGAUCCUUUUCUAUUAAAAUAUGGAUCUCUCUCUAAUAUUUUUGUAAGACGUAUUAUUAUAUUUUGGCAUCUCUGUUGCGUUAUCACCUCUAGCAAAGGGCACAGCUGUACUGCAAAUAUCGAUAGAGACAUAUAUAUUUUAUUAUAGAAUAAAAUAUUUUUCUACGACGCAGUUUGACCACCGGCAUAUGUUGGUGCUUUGCGGGGAUCGAUUGAGGCGUGUUUAAUAUAAUAAAUGUUGUGAUUGUUCGGAAAGUAGUGUUAGAGCACGGACUCGUUGAGAGUAUUCACCUGUCCCACCUGACGCCGCCCGAGCGCUAAACGACACGCACGACCGUUCAAUGUCUCUCACGCAGCGUUGCCAGAUUUAGUGUUUUUUGUUUUAAAAUUUUUGAUAAAAAAAAAUAUUGUGUUCACAAAAUUUUUAAGUAAUAAAAUGAGAAAUGUUGGAAGAAAAAUAAAAUGGGUGUAGGUAAAUUUAGAGAUCUUUUUUGAUAGUUUUAAUUAAUAUUUGUAAACAACUGUAUAGCAGUAUACAAAUCCGUAGAAUAUACCAAUCAAGGUUAGUGGCAUGAGGCGAAGAAGUAUGUGUAAAGAACGGCGUUUUAUAAAGAAAUCGUAUCAAUUUAAGAUAAAAAUAAAAUUGAAAUUUAGGUAGAAAUCGCAAAUCGUAUCUGGCAACACUGUAGUACUUGUUACUGUUUGGUUCAUGUCGUCGAGUUGUUUGGUGCGUCGGCGCACCAUAUUCAAUCUAUCUGACUGCUAAAUGAUAUUAGAUUUUAAUUAUUAAAAAUCUCAACUUCUGAAUUAGAUAUUAUAAUAUGAAACGAUCAUUAGAACGCAGUUAUAAAAUAAGUAUUGAUAUACAUGUUCUAUAUGCCGUUUUGUAAAUCUCUGAUGUUUCACUCGUGUACUUCCGAAGUUAGUUGAAUGACAGCAGGGAUAUUGAAGUACAUUACUCGAAUAUUUGUCAGUAAUCUCCUGUCAUAGUGUUUAAUUAAGUCCUAAGGCUUUUUUGUAUUUGUCUAUUACAUAAUGUAUAUUUGACAUUGAAGUUUGAACGCACUCACAUCCACAUUAACAAGUUAUUCCAAUUUGAUGUUACUAUUUUUGAUCGGUCACGGGGUGGAGACGUAUGUUCAGUGUUGCCGCACGCCAAAUUCACAAAAUAUUUAUCCAUUUUGUCGACAUAAAGUUAUAUGGCAAUCGUCUUCAGCCUGUACUGUGGAGAAUCAAUGUAUCUCGUGUUAGAUUUAAGGCUAGGGUCUCGUGUUAACUAAUGUUAGUCGGCUAACGCGUUCGCUUAUCUCAUCGGGCAUCUCUAUUGUAAUAUUUAUUCUUUGCUUUCAUUACAAUUACCUUGCCGUAUAUCGUUUCCGUUACGCAAACACCUAUAUGUGUGCACUAGUAUUGUGCACCAACUUUGUCUGUCAAUGUUACCUCUUAUUAUAAUUUGUGUAUAUUCUUUCUUCGCCUGAAAGGUGUCGGGUCCUAUGAAAUACAUUCCACGCGGUCUAACCAUGUUGAUUUUUUUAAAUAUCCAUUUAUUUAUUCAAUGUUUCUUAUUGUAAGCGUCGGUCAGAUGUAAUCUGAACAAUGUUUUUAAAACUACGAGUAAGACUGUCGUUUACUAUUAAAGCCCAGUGUACGUUUGAUUUCAUAUUAUUGUACUGUACUGUACGUUUCUCAUCGGAUCUAAUCGACUGCAUAAUUUGCAAAUUGAGGCGUUUUGUACAAAGACCCUGAUCGUUCUAAUUUAGAGUUUACACUGUAACCAUGGGUACCUUAUAUACAUUGCAUUAUAUUUAUAUUUGAAGGCACUGUUAUUGUAACCCCUUUAAGUUAUUUGUUAAGGAGUCUUUAUCAUGUCUAUUGUCUAGUAAGAAUUUAAUAUAUAUUAAUAUUAAUUAAUGGUAGGAGAGCCUUGUUCGAUUCGCGUCUAUUUUGUCGCUUUUUAUGCCGCGCUGUUAAACAUUGAAAAUUCUUCGUCAUAAUUUGUUACAACAGAUUGGAGAUUGAACGUAACGUUAAAUUGUUAUAAAUGUCGGCGUUGUCACUGCCUUCCCUUAGGAGAUCACGUGUUAUGUCAGUGUACUUUAUCUCCAUGACUGUUAGGGGUGGGUAAUAUAUAUAUAUAUAUAUAUAUAUAUAUAUAUAUAUAUAUAUAUAUAUAUAUAUAUAUUCUGAUUAUCUAUAUAUUGGCUCAAUAACAAAUAUGUCAAAUAUCUGUUAUCCAAUAUACAAUAUCAAAAUAAAUAUAAAUAUCCAACCUGUACCUGUGAUUUCGAAUAGAUAAUGAUCAAGUUUCCCUCAUCAAUGUCGAGAGAAACCCAAUAUAUAGAUAUCAGUGCAAUAUCGAUAUUACCCAUGCCUAAUGACUAUAUAUCAUUUGCCUUAAGUAUUUUCAGUUUAAUUCGUCAUAUUCGUAAGCACAAUGUCUGCAUUUAUUUCUGUCCACAUGUCACAAUGUAUGCAAACGGUCAUAAUGAAAAGACAGCUAAUGAAACCAGACACAGGUUAGUUAUGAAUCAAAUAUACUAUUAUACAAACGGUUCAGCGUCGUGUAUAAUUUAGUAUAAAACAACUGAUGGAGUGAAAUUAAAAAAGUAAGAAUUUAAAAUACCGAGUCGUAGCUGAAAUAUGUGUAUGUUGGUUGCAAAUGUGAUUGUACUCAAAAUUGGUUUGUUUAUAUUGUAAGGUACAAUGAAUGUGGAAAAUAGAUUGGCCCCUUCAAUAUUGUAUAACGUACUAAUCUCAUUAAUGUUUUACGAUAGGUAUGUAUUGUUUGCAGCUAUUAUAUUAUAUAUGUUUGACAAAGUACCUACAUGUUAUGUAUAGUUUAGAUAAUAUGGUAUGAAGAAAUGGUCAAAGUGUACUAAUUAAAUUAUUUUAAUUAAUUAAAUUAUUCUCGUCCCUGUUGUUUACCAAUUUUAAUAAUUAUUUUGAAAGGUCAUAUCUAAUGUUGACUAGCACCAUCUUGUUUUUAUAAUCUAUGGGCGAUAAUUUUGUUUAGGAAAAGCGUUCAAAUUAAAUAAUUGCCAAGCAAGCAUUUUAACCGACAUUGGAGGUAUUUUGUUAAAUUGGAUAAUAAUAUGUUGCAUUUAUGUAAAUUAAAAGUUGAACCAUGACAAAAUGUAACAAUGUAUAACACGAAUUUGGGAAUUCUGACCUCAUGCGAGAACGUUCUGUUCACGAAUUAUAAUAAUUUACCUUUUAGUUCGCAUUAAGUAACUGUAAUUUAUUGUGUAACUAUGAUGAAUAUUUUUUUAUGUUGCAUAGAAAAUAAAUUUUAAGAAAUUGUA